rnacentral:tRNA from 6 species
GGCGUGGUAGCUCAGUUGGUUAGAGCGUCGGAUUCAUAACCCGGAGGUCUGCAGUUCAAUUCUGCAUCACGCUACAA